AUGAAUCUUUUUUGUAGUUCAUCCCAAUUCCAAGUUGCUGGUUUUGGUUUGUUGGGUUGCUUCUCCGCCGGCAAAUGUUGCGCUGCAGACUCGCUCAGCCCGUUUUUUGUUUUUUUCCCGCUCUUUCACACCUACAUGCGCGCGCGCGCCCCCGCGCACAUCCACCCAAGCACACGGGCACCUCUCCACGAACACGGCAUCGUGCGUUAUCCUGGGAUCCGGGCAGCAGCAAAGCGGAGGAUGAUUAACAGCGCGUGCUCUGGAAUAAAGCUUGCCAGGUCUUCCCGCGUAAUUGAAGAGGAGAGACUCAAGAAGCAAAGAGACUCGCAGAUGCUGCAGCAGGAACUGGAACAGCACUGGACUGUUUUGGCAUUUGUAAAGCCAGCUGGAAGCCUCUGGGGCCCCCUGGCAAUCAACAUCCAUCUUGGCUCUGUUCUACUGGGGGCGAUGCUGCAGCUGCCAGACUAUGGAACUGCUGCUCACAUUCUAAGAUGUAUUGGAUAUAUCCUUACAUGACAUUCAAAUAGGUAACACUACUAAUGCAACUGGGAUUUUCUAAUUGGUAAUGCUGCUACAGAAUCCCAGACAAGUAGUAAUAGACACCUGGUAUACCGAAAAAUAACACAAUGUCCUACAACUAGUAAAACAAUGCAAUUCAGUUAUGACCACCCUAUGAGAGAAAUAAGAGACUACCUCCCCUACUAUCUCCUCUUAUCCCUGAAGAGUGGUUCUCAGUCUCCAGAUGUUUUAGAACCUGACAAUUCCUAAUCACUGGUCAGAUGGCUAGAACUUCUAGAAGUUGAAACUCCAAACAUCUGGAGGAUCAAAGUUAAGAAUCACUGUCCUAGAAAAUGGGGAGGGGGGAAGAUAACCUAUUGCGCUUAAGAAAUAACAUGAGUUUAGUUUUGUUUUUCUUAAAAACACUAUUGGUGUAAUGAAUCACAAUUUCAAAUAAUUUUUAAAAGUUACUUUCUCAAGAUAUUUUAAGGCAUUUUUAAGAAUAAUUUUCAAGCUUUGUGUUAUUUUCCAUAGUUGCUGAUUUUAAUGUUUCUGCUUUUGUUUUUGUUUUCUAUUAUAUGUGUUGUAGCCGCCCAGAAUAGUGCCUCAACACUAAUGGGAAUGGGAUACAAAUUGAAUGAAUAAAUGAAUAAAUGAAUAAAUAAAUAAACUGUUU
rnacentral:lncRNA from 1 species